UGGGGAAUUUUGGACAAUGGGCGCAAGCCUGAUCCAGCCAUGCCGCGUGCGGGAAGAAGGCCUUCGGGUUGUAAACCGCUUUUGUCAGGGAAGAAAUCUUCUGAGUUAAUACCUCGGGAGGAUGACGGUACCUGAAGAAUAAGCACCGGCUAACUACGUGCCAGCAGCCGCGGUAAUACGUAGGGUGCAAGCGUUAAUCGGAAUUACUGGGCGUAAAGCGUGCGCAGGCGGUUUUGUAAGACAGAGGUGAAAUCCCCGGGCUCAACCUGGGAACUGCCUUUGUGACUGCAAGGCUUGAGUGCGGCAGAGGGGGAUGGAAUUCCGCGUGUAGCAGUGAAAUGCGUAGAUAUGCGGAGGAACACCGAUGGCGAAGGCAAUCCCCUGGGCCUGCACUGACGCUCAUGCACGAAAGCGUGGGGAGCAAACAGGAUUAGAUACCCUGGUAGUCCACGCCCUAAACGAUGUCAACUGGUUGUUGGGAAGGUUCCUUCUCAGUAACGUAGCUAACGCGUGAAGUUGACCGCCUGGGGAGUACGGCCGCAAGGUUGAAACUCAAAUGAAUUGACGGGGU
rnacentral:rRNA from 1 species